rnacentral:lncRNA from 1 species
CUCUGAGAGUGGAGAGCCUUCCCCUCUGGAACAAGAUGUCUCCAGAGUUAAAUACAUGAAUUAAAUGCAAUUUCAAUGGAUGUCCCAAUGUUUUAAAUUGAAUAACAUGACUUUAAAGAAGAUAUGGGAAACUUCAACUCCCAGAAAAAUGAAGUAGAUACAUACUUCUCUAUUCCUUCCACUAAGUACAACUGAAAACCGUGACACUAUAUAUAAAACAAACAUAAGAAGACUCUGAAAGGCAAGAAUGGGUUUUCUUUUGCCUCCUUUAUUCCAGACUUGUAACUGAAGAAGCCAUCAACCAAGAAAUUUCCAACAGACCCAGAUGGAAAAAGUCCCAGUGAAAGCCUGUUCUUUAGCCAAAGGGGCCAGAAAAGAGCAAGAUAGCAGGACAAGUGUCAUUGAGGAGAAUUUGCCUAGGAGAUGCAAAGAGAGAGAAGCCUAUACUUUGAGGGUGGAAGCCCCUCCAACAGAUCUCUGCCAUCAUGUGAGAGAGAGCCUGAGUUAGCCUGCUGGAUGGUCAAAGAUGAGUGGUGCAGCUAAGUGAAAGCCUGCUGACUUGUAGACAUAUGAGUAAGGCCAUGCUUGAUCACCUGGCUGCCAGCUGGCCUGCCAACUAAUUGCAGGUACUUGAAAGAGUCCAGCAGAGAUCAGCCACCCCAGGUCAAAUAAACACCCAGCCCCCUCCCUGAGAAUGAUGAACUAAAUAAAUGUCUUAAGUACUAAGUUUUGGGUGUUUGCUACAUAGCAAAAGCUAAUUGAUACUGUUCCCAAGGAGUGGAAAACUUCUGUAACAAAAAACAAAAAAUUCUGGCAUUGGUUUUGGGAUUGGGCAAUGGGUAGAGGCUAGAAAAAUGGCAAGGAAGCUGCCAUAGCAACCUAGAAAAAUGGCAACCCAUGCUAUAAAAUAGGGCAAUUGGUCAAUAAUUUUUGAAGUGGUUUGUUAUGCAGCAAUAGCCUACUGAUACACCAUGUGAAUUAUAGCAAGGAAUAGCUAAGGCAAAACAAAACAUUGGAUGAGUAGCAUAGUUCAUUCUAAAGAACCACUAAGGCUUGCUCAGGAAUAUGUACUAAUUCAGGUGGCAUCUGUUAACUAUCACUGAGCAUAAUAUUGGAGGAUAAAUCUGCUUUGCUUAUUGCCACCCCCGUAGCUUAGAAGCUACUCCUAAAACAGCAAGGAUGUCACUGUGGCAGUGGGCAAGGAUUAAUUCCCUCAUUUAUUUAUUCAUUUAUUAAUUCAACAAA